UUUUUGCUUCAUCCCAACUCUUUGUUAUUUUUGAAUUAAAUGGUUUAGGUAAUUUGCUAAAAUAUAAUUUUCUUAUUUCUUUACUUUCCUCUGUAUUAUAUGUUCCCUUACAAUAGUAUUCUUUAAAUGCGCACGUAUAUUCAUCUAUAUAGCACAUAUUAUAUAUUGCUGAUUUCAACAUUGAAUUCUUAUUCGUAUCUUUUUCUUUAUUUUGUUGUUCUUCUUCUGUUGUUAUACUGUUAAAUUCAUCUCUUAUAGCUACUUCAUAUUUUUUCAAUAUUUCUGUUGAUGAUAUUUUAGUAAUUGUUGAUGUUCCUUCUGUUUUAUUAUCAGAUCUUAAUACCUUUUUACUUGUUUCAACUAGGUUUAAAAACCAUAAUUUUACUGUUCCUAUUAAUUUCUUUUCUAUAUAUUCAGGUGUUUUUGUUGUAUCUAUUUUAUUAUUUAAUAAUUAUUUUGGCAUGUAUCCUACCCAUAGUUGUAUUAUUUUAUUUGUGUCUGUUACACAGUCUAAAUUUAAAAAGUUGUAAUUAAUUAUUUGUUUUGGUGUCCAUUUAUUAUAUUCAUUCUUUGGAUUAUAUCUUUUAAACUUAUUUUUGUAAUUAUAGGUUGGUUUUCUUAUUUCUGAUGUAUUAGGUAUUAUAUUUUUAUCUAGAGUAUUUGCUUCUGUAUUUUUUAGUUCUAGAUUUUCCUUAUUAAUUACUUCUUGUUUUUCAUUAAUUUCUAGUUUUCCUAUAUUUUCUAGAAUUUCUGUAUAUGUUUCACUAUCUUCUGAGUCAUAAUUAUCUGUUUCUUCAGCAUCUAUUGAAUUUAUUUCUAAUUCACUAGUUUUUAAUUGGUAUCAGAGCCUAUGUUGUAUAAAGUUACGGAAGUAGCAUAUAUUUAGAUUUAUUUGAUUAAUUUAUUAAUUAUGAUAAAAUCAGAUUUAGAUCUCCACCAAAACAAUAUUUAUAAUAUUUGUUUAGAUGAAUAACAUACAGAAAUCACAAAAAUAUAAAGAAUUAAAAUAAACAAUAUCUGAAAAAUGUAAAGAAUUAAAAAUGAGGAUAGAAAGACUACAGUAUAACAUAAUUNNNNNNNNNNNNNNNNNNNAUGAAGGAUUAAAAAUAAAAAUAGUAUUUUCUAAUCUAGGAAGAAUGUAUAAGAAAAUAGGCAAACAUUUAUAUUUAAUGUUAGAAAAAGAAGAAUUAAAAUUAGAAGAUAAGUUGACAGCCAUGGUAAGAAUAGAAAGAGAAAACGAAGAAAUAGACAAAAAAAAGGAAAUAGAUAAAAUAAAACAACAAACUACAGAAGAAAUACGAAAAAUAGAAGAAACUAAAAAUAGUAGGAUUGCUGCAUUAGAAAAAGAACUACAAGUGCUAAAAGAUUUGUAUGAAAAAAAAGAUAGAAAGAAAAAAAAGAGAAAGAUAAAGAACAGAAAUUAUUAAUUGAGAUAAAUCAAUUUAAAGAAAAAUUAGAAGGAGAAAAUAAAGAAUUAGAAACUAGUGAACUAGAAAUAAAUACAAUAGAUGCUGAAGAAACAGAUAAUUAUGACUCUGAAGAUAGUGAAACAUAUCCAUAAAUUCUAGAAAAUAUAGGAAAACUAGAAAUUAAUGAAAAACAAGAAGUAAUUAAUAAGGAAAAUCUAGAACUAAUAAAUACAGAAGUAAAUACUCUAGAUAAAAAUAUAAUAUCUAGAACAUCAGAAAUAAGAAAACCAACCUAUAAUUACAAAAAUAAGUUUAAAAGAUAUAAUCCAAAGGAUGAAUAUAAUAAAUGGACACCAAAAUAAAUAAUUAAUUAUAAUUUUUUAAAUUUAGACUGUGUAAUAGACACAAAUAAAACAAUACAACUAUGGGUAGGAUACAUGUCAAAACAAUUAUUAGAUAAUGAAAUAGAUACAACAAACACACCUAAAUAUAUAGAAAAGAUAUUAAUAGGAACAGUAGAAUUAUGGUUUUUAAACCUAGCCGAAGCAAGUAAAAAGGUAUUAAGAUCUGAUAAUAAAAUAGAAGGAACAUCAACAAUUACUAAAAUAUCAUCAACAAAAAUAUUUAAAAAAUAUGAAGUAACUAUAAGAGAUGAAUUUAGCAGUAUAACAACAGAAGAAGAACAAAAUAAAGAAAAAGAUACGAAUAGGAAUUAAAUGUUAAAAUUAGCAAUAUGUAAUAUGUGCUAUAUAGAUGAAUAUACGUGCGCAUUUAAAGAAUACUACUAUAAGGGAACAUAUAAUACAGAGGAAAGUAAAGAAAUAAGAAGAUUAUAUUUUAGCAAAUUACCUGAACCAUUUAGUUCAAAAAUAAUAAGGAGUUGGGAUGAAGUGUUUAAUUUAAUUCUAAGGAAAAUUAACCGCAUUAAAGUUAGAUGAAAAUUCUAAGGAAUUAACUGCAUUUACGGUACCACAAGAAUUUUAUGAAUGGAAUGUAUUACCAUUUGGAUAUAAAAAUGCACCAGAUAGAUACCAACACUUUAUGGAUAGUUAUUUCAAACAAUUAUCUAAUUGUAUAGUAUACAUAGAUGAUAUACUACUAUAUACGAAAACUAAAGAGGAACAUUUAAAAUUAUUAGAACAAUUUACAGAUAUAAUAGAAAAAUCGGGAAUAAGUUUAAGUGAAAAGAAAGCUGAAAUAAUAAAAAACCAGAUAGAGUUUUUAGGAAUACAAAUAGAUAAAAGUGGAGUAAAAAUGCAACAACAUAUAGUACAAAAAAUAAUAAAUUCAAAAGAAGAAUUAGAUACAAAUAAGAAAUUACAAUCAUUUUUAGGAUUAGUAAACCAAGUAAGAGAAUAUAUACCAAAAUUAGCAAAAAACCUAAAGCCAUUACAGAAAAAAUUUAAAAAGGAUAUAGAAUAUAAUUACAAUGAAAAAGAUAAAAAAACAAGUUCAAAAAAUAAAAAUACUUUGUAAAGAGUUACCAAAAUUACAAUUUCCAGAAGAAAACAAUUUUUUAUAUAUAUAGUAGGAGCAGAUGCUAGUGAAUAUAGUUAUGGAGAAGUACUUAAAUACAGAUAUGAAGAAGAAAGAUUAGAACAUCAUUGCAGAUACUACUCACGUACGUUUAAUGAAACAGAAAUAAAAUGGGAAAUAAAUAGAAAAGAAUUAUGUUCAUUAUAUAAAUGUUUAUUAGCAUUUGAACCAUACAUUGUAUAUAAUACCCAAAUGAACCAUUAGAGUGUUUGAACAAAUGAAGUUAUCUCAACAAGUCAACUGUCCAUGAUUCAAUAUAAGCCAUGUACCAUUAGAGUGAAAUAUGCAAGUAAGACAUUAUUAAUAUCACAUUAACCCCAACUUAGGAAUUUCUAUUAUGAAAAAAGCAACCAAAUGUACACACAAGGCCAUAAAAUCAAAUAAGACCCCUAUACGACCCACACAUAACAAUUAUCAUCUUAGAUUAUCAAUAACAACAACAUAAGCCCCCCAUAUGAGAACAUGAUAGUAAUGACAUUAUUUCCAUGAUUAUUACCCAUACCCAUAACACUUUUUUAAAUAAAUAUUAAAUACCCAACCUAGUUUGAAGAAAGUUAAGCUAAAGUUACCUCAUGACAUCGAAUCCAAGCCUAAAACUCUUCACACGGAGCUUAUCCCCUCUCAAACGUCCUUGAUAUCAACCAAAUCAUAAAAAUAUAGAAUCUAAGUGUUAAAAGAAAGUCAACAAUAUCCAUAGUGCCUAUUUUCGAGUCCGGAUCAAAAUAGACCCCCUAAAUGGGUUUUCAAAAAGAAAACGUAAAAUUGGAUCUUUUUUACAAAUACCUUACCCAUGAUUAAAUGAAGUCACAAAAUAAAACCCAAUUGAAAAUAGGUUUAAAACAGGGUUUAAAUUGAAGAAAAACUAAACUAUUUUGGUCCAUUUCUUUUUGCCUUAGUGAUGGAUGUUUUCACGUGGUAUAUCCAAGAAGAGGUGCCUUAAUGUGCUAUUUGCAAAUGAUGUAGUUUUGAUUGAUGAGACUCGGGGAGGUGUUAAUGAUAAAUUAGAGCUUUGGAGAAAAACCCUAGAGUCAAAAGGGUUCAGGUUGAGUAGGACCAAGAUCGAGUACUUGGAAUAUAAGUUCAGUAAUGUGACAUAGGAGGACGAGGUGGUAGUGAAGUUGGAUUCAUAGGUUAUUUGUAAAAAGGAUAGUUGUAAGUAUCUUGGGUCUAUGAUUUAGGAAAAUAAAGAGAUUAAUGAGGAUGUCACACACCAUAUUGGGGCGGGGUGGAUAAAAUGAAGGCUUUCCUAAGGAGUUUUGUAUGAUAAUAAGGUGUCUUCCAAGGUUAAAGGUAAAUUCUAUAGAGCGGUGGUCCAUUCAACCAUAUUGUAUGGAGCAAAGUGUUGGUUAGUCAAGAACUCUCACAUCCAAAAGUUACAGGUGGCAAAAAUAAGAAUGUUGCAUGGCAUGUGUGGACUUACUAGGGGAUAUAGGGUCAGGAAUGAGAUUAUUUAGGUGAAGGUGGGGGUAGCCUCAAUGGACGAUGAGAAGAGAAAAAUGAGGUUGAGAUGGUUUGGGCAUAUGAGGAGGAGGGGCAUAGAUGCCUCAGUUCGGAGGUACGAGAGGUUAGCUUUGGAUGGUUUCAAGCGGUGUAGAUAUAGGCCGAACAAAGACUGAAGGGAGGUAAUUAGACAUGACAUAGAGCAGUUACAGCUUACUAAGGACAUGACCCUAGAUAGGAAAGUACGGAGAACAUAAAUUAGGUUUGAAGGUUAGAGUAUGUGGGUGAGUAAUAGUUUGUAGUUAGGUGUGCUUUAAAGUAGCCUUGCUAGAAGUUGUAGGACUUCUCAUAUAGGAUAGAGUAUCUAGUUAGGUGGGUUGGGGGGUGGGUGCUUGUGAUUUGAUAGUGUAUCGUACUACUUUGUGGGUGCCUUAUUUCUGUCAUUUCAUCUUGUCUAAUGUGUUAUUAUGAUCUUAUUUACUGUCUCUAUGUCUUGAGCUGAAGUUCUAUCAGAAAUAACCUCUCUACUUCUUCAGAGGUAGUGCUAUGUAAAACAUACAAUUUACCCUCCCAGACCCCACUAGGUGGGAAUUCACUGGGUAUGCUGUUGUCAUUGAAAUCAUAAUUUAACAAGUUUUAAAUGACAAGAAAUAAAGUAAAAUAAUUGAAAUAGUGAUUUGGAGCUUACCCAAAUUUGAAAAUGGAAGAACUCACCCAAAAACUGCUUAACCCAAAGCUCAAAACCUCAAAAAUGAAAGAAAAGCAAGAAAGAAGUUUUUAUACUAACCGCUUAAGCAAUCACAGCUAAUGGGUCAAGUGCCACUUAAGUGAUUCUCGUGAGGUCUGUAUCCUUCACUUAAGAGCACCGAGCUCUACUUUAACGGCCCCAUCUCGUGAUCCUAGUCUCUCAAGUAGCCUCCGCAAAGCUAUAAUGGCCGCUUAGGAGGUCACCGCUAAAAGGUCAAAGUGCCACUUAAGUGGUACUCGCGAGGUCUGCACCCUUCGCUUAAGAGGACCGGGCUCUGUAUUAGUAUCCCCAGCUGGUAAGCCUGUUCACUUAAGUGUCCUCUGCUAAAGCGACUUAAGUGUUGCUUUAGCAGUUGCACCAAUAGGGAUUUGGAAAAUUUCCUAGCCUCCACUGGCCCCUCGAGAUUCAUCCAAAAUCUCGAGAGUGCAAAUGAACUAUGUUUCCCUAUCAAAUUCAAUGUUAUAGACUCAAUGGUGACAUUAGAUUUUCAAAAAGAGGUUGUUUUCACAAAAUUGACCCUUAAGACCUAAUUUUACAAUUUUCUAAACCGAGGGUCAAAAUGAGAAUUAAAAGCCAUAAAAUUAGACCAACCACACUACUAACCCAAAAUUGACGUUCUGGAUCUACUGACACACUCUAUUUUUCCAAAUAACAUAGAACAUAACAAAUGUUGAUUGAAGUCAACUAUAGGCCUUUUAACUUCCAAAAACCACAAACUCACACAAGUUGCACCAAAAUGGAUUAAGAAUUAUGCCAACCAUCCUUACACCCCAAAAAUAUCACGUAACAAUCAUGGGGAGGGUCAAAAUAAUCAAAACUCAUAAAAAGGAGAAAUUCACAGUAUCAAGACCUUACAAUAAACACCACUAAGAAUCUAGUUCGUGCUCAGACUAAAGGGAAGGAAAAUACCUAAAUCAUCCAAAAAAUGGGGAUAAAUACUAUGUAUGUCGGACUUGACUUUCCAGGUAGCCUUAUCUAUAGGAUGGUGUACUGGACCUUAACCACCAGAAUAUCCCUAGAACGUAGCCCCCUAACAUCCCAUGCUAGAAUCGACUUCUCCAUAAAGAAUAACCUUUCAUCUAACUGCAUUAUGUUCCAAUGAAUGAUAUCGGACUUAUUCAUAAUAUAAAUCCAUAGCAUGGAUACAUAAAAAAUUGGAUGAAUAGUUGAUAAAUUUAGGGAUAAUUGAAACACCCUAAAUUCUGGCCCUUGAAAUUUCUUGAGCUAUGAGCUCACCGACCUAGUUACAACUGGACCCUAUGAGUCGCAAGGUGUCCUGAUGAGUCAUUGGGAUAAUUUGUAACCAAAUUAAUAAGUUUUAUGGCUUGAUUCUACUUUGAGUACGAAUGGCUCACUAAGAGCCGUAAAGAUAUGUUAUGAGUUGUUAGGUGCAAUCAUAAGGUGUCCAGUAAGUUCUAAGACACUUUCUUCAUUACGAAUUAAGGUCACAAGUCUUAAAGACUCAUAACGAGUCGUAAUGACCAAAUUGUAAGAUGUCCAGUGUUCACCCAAUUUGGUUCUUCUCUGACUAUGACUUAGACCCAAUGAGUCAUAGGGUCACAUGAUAAGUUAGUUGGCUGAGUCAUAGGACAAUAGUAGGUGGAGGUGAUGGAUACUAUUUUGGUUGUGAGUCAUGGUUAUAAGUCGUAAAGAGUGGUUACAAGUCAAGGGUGGACUUGUAGUCAAAGGUGACACUUUUUAGCUUUUAAGUUGAGGGCAUUCUGGAUAUUUUUCCUCUUAAACAAAUUGAAACUCACAUCUUAUAACCCCUUUAGGGUUUCAUUAUCACUCAGAAACAAUCUAUGUAACUCUCAAACAUUCCUAAAUAUUCUUUAAAAUUCUCUAUUCAAGUUAAAGCUAGGGUUCCAAGAGAGGUGGUCAUCUAGGAUUUCAAGGGUGCUUUCUUCUCCAAAUUUCUUGGUAUUUGAGGCAUGUUACUCUUCCCUCAUAAUUGUAUUUUAUUAAUGGCAUAAUUUUGGAUAAGGUUUAUAUGGUUUUGAUGUUGGGAUUUAAAGUAUGGGUUGAGAGUUUUGAAUAUAAAUUAUUUAAAUGCUUCUGCUAUAAUAUUUAUGAAAUUGCUUUGCUUAAAUUAAUGGUUGGUAAGUUCUUUAGGAUGCAUGGGAAUGGUGGAUGGACAUGGGUACAAUGGAAUCCCUAAAUUGGUAAAUCAUGGAAGUAUCGAUACAAAGGAAUCUCCAAACUAAUUAGUUUAGUAUGGAAAUUUGUAACAACCUCAACCCACUUUCAUAAUUGGUUUUAGAAUAUGCAUUAUCACUCGAUUUGAUUUACUCCUUGGCAUUAAUGUAUGGCUUAAUUGGUUAAUUGGAUUAUAAUGGUCUUGAAAACCUUGUGAGGUACACGAGAAUCCCCUAAAUGAUUUUUAUAAUGGAGUCUACUGGGUACAUGAGAAUCCCUAAGUAUUGUCUUAAUGACAUUUCUUGUAAGAUAUAGCUGGUAUGAUGAUACCGCUUAAUAAUGCCUUAAUAAUUGUCUCCUGGAAUUGGUGGUUGGGUUAUGUGUUUAAUUUUUUAAUUGGGCAAUAAUGGGGGUUGUGUUAGCUAGCCAUGAAGCUGUGAGUUCAAAAGAUUAAUAUUGGAAACUCAUAUUUGCCGAAAUAAGGGUUGGUCUUGAUGACCAAGUGUUUGUGGGGUACAAAAGAAUCCCCCAAGUGCACAUAUAUUAUAUAUAUCAUGGAGGGCAAAGGGUAUAAGGAAAUCCAUGACCAUCUAUGUUAUCUCUGAUUCUUGCGGCUAACACGCACUGGGCCGCAUUGAGGGGGGAACACUGGACCCAUAUAGCCCGUGGGUGGAUUAUAACGGUAACGCUUCACAACCCAGGUUAAAGUUUUUUUAAAUUUCAUACUAAGCCUUGCUCCCAACCCCAACAUGUGUAUAUGUGUAUAUGGUUAUGUAUAUGUACUUCAUAUGAUAUUACGUAUUGGAGGUUGUACUGGUUUAAACUGUUAUCAUGAAAUUAUUUUUCUUCUUUAUCCCUAAGUUUCAUGCUAGCGCUCCAACCACUAAUUGUCUUCGGAUGAUGUAUGCCAAUGCGAAACAAGAACUGGUCAAACUUCCACAUCUUCUACUUAAUACUUAGAUUCGUGAUCAGCUAGCGAGUCAGAUUGAAAUGGUGAGCUUCCAUACUUUGAAAGGCCCUAUUUCAUAAUUAUGGUUUCCCUUAUAUUUUGACUAUUCUUGGAUUUGGUUUUUGGCUAUUGUCGGUGGUAUGUACCGAUACUUUGUUAUUAGUAGUUUUGAUUAAUUAUUUAGAAGGCUUUGUUUGGACUACUGUGGCUAUUGAGCGGUAUCGAUCGAUCAUUUGACCAAUCAUCGGUGGUUGGUUAUGGAUAUGCUUUUAAAACUUUCUUAGGAUAUUUUACACUAUCUUGUUAUAUGUUUGAAAUUUAUCCGACCUUGGGGUGUGGUGUGUUUGGCUGGUUAGGUGCAGAGGGUGAUCUCUGGUCCAUGUGGGACUUGAUAAACCUAUCACGGCCAAGCCCUGAUUUGGGUCGUGACAAAGGUGGUAUCAGAGCCUAGGUUUGAUGUCAUUGGGUGUCCAACAAAGUUGUGUUAAGAAGAUUCUCAUUUAUGGGUGUGUAGUGCACCACAGUCUUAAGGGAGAGGCUACGAGACAUAUAGGAAUGUUUCCUUUUCUUGUUGUUCUGUUUCAAGCUAUAGAAUCUAAGAUCUUAAAACUUCUCUAAUUCCCAUUUGUUUGCUUUUCAGAUCAUGCCUCUAGAUGAUCUAAAGCUUAUAGAAACUCCUUUGUCCCACUUGAGGAUAAUGCUGAUGGGACACGCUCUACUUAUGGGGUAUAAACUUGGUCUAGGGGUUCAGUUCCUGAUUGCCCUACUGGAGUUCCACCGGUACCCUCUAGUCUUCCUCGAGCUCCUUAGGCUGAUAUGUCAAAUAUGAAAUUUUGUCAGUCUAUUCAUAUGUUAGCUUAGUUGGUAGCUUAUCAGUCUGAGUGUGUAGCUUCUAUUACUCCAUCUUCUAAGGCCAUAAGGGUUGGCCAAUUUAUAAGGUUGAGUCCUCUUGUGUUCACUGGUUCUAAAGUUGAGGAAGCUCCUCAAAAGCUUAUCAAAGAUAUGGAGUAGAUCUUUUAGGUUAUGCAUGCUUCGGAUAUUGAGGGUAUAGAAUUCGCUGCCUACCAAUUAAAAGAUUUGGUGUACCAAUGGUACGAAGAGUGGGAAUAGUUGAGAGGUAAAGAUGUUGAUUUUGUCGUAUGGGAUAAUUUCUCUAGUGUCUUUCUAGACUACUUCUUUCUUCAAGAGUUAAGGAAGGAAAAAAUGGAAGAGUUUGUUAAUUUAAAGUAAGAAAGAAUGACGUCAAGGAGUAUGCCUUGAAUUUUUAUCUGUUAUCCCAGUAUGCUCCUGAGUUGGUGUCUAGCAUAAAAUCUAGAAUGAGGAAGUUUGCUUCUGAAUUGUCACGAGAUUUGAUUCUAGAGAGUAAUGUUGCCUUGUUGAAAAAGGACAUGGAUAUCUCCCAACUUUUGGAUAUACAACAAGUUGAGGAAGAGAAAAUAAAGUAAGUUGAGAUUGGGGAAAGGCAGAGCAUCAACAACAGAGUGGUAGGGAUUGUGAAAAUGGUCUAAGAAGAAGUAAGGCAAUUUUGGGUCCUACUCGACGGCUAGUACUCCUUACCCAAAGUCGUCUGGUGACUAAGAUUUUUAGAGUGAUGAUGUUUCCAAGGCACCGAGUGCCCAAUCUUAGGCUGGUGGUCCCAAUAAGCUCCAUCAUAUCCUCCUUACAGAUUUUAAGUCAAUUGCAUCAUGGUUUCUGUGAUGAGGGAAAGGACAAGUGCUUAAAGUUUGGUCAGCCAGGGCAUAGGCUUAAAAAUUAUCCUGGGGGUAAAGUUAUUUCUGAGGAAAACAAGGUUCUUGUUGCCUCUUCAUCAGCUCGUGCACCCAAGGGUUCCCCAUAUGGAUCUGGUACUAGUCAAAACUAUCUCUAUGCUCUCACUACCCGUAAGGAGUCUGAGGCAUCUCUUGAUGUCGUUACUUAUAUGUUGACAUUAUUUUUCUAUGAUGCGUACUAUUUACUUAAUUCGAGGUUCACUCUUUCUUAUGUGACCCCAUUUGUGGUUAUGUAUUUUGGUUUCAUUCCCAAGUGUAUUUUGGACCUCUUUUCUAUAUCUACCUCAGGGGAGGACUCAAUGAUUGCUAGAAGAGUUUAUAGGGGUUGUGUGCUAUCGGUUGGUGGUAGAGAAACUUUGGUGGAUCUGUUUGAAUUAGAUAUGGUUGAUUUUGAUGUCAUAUUAGGGAUGGAUUAGUUGCACUCAUAUUAUGCCUCCUUAGAUUAUCGAACCCCUAAGGUCAUGUUUAAAUUACCUAAUGAACCAAUGAUUGAGUGGGAAGGUGGUUCUCUAGUGCCUAAGUGGAGAUUAAUAUCAUAUCUCAGAGCCCAAAAAGUAAUUUACAAGGAAUCCUUUACUAUUUAGUCUGGGUUAAAGAUUCUAACUCAGAGGUCCUUCAUUAUAAUCCAUUCCCGUGGUUAAUGAAUUCCUCAAAGUUUUUCCUGACGAUCUUUCUAGUAUCCCUCCCGAUAGGGAGAUUGAUUUUGGGAUUUACCUUAUUUCGAACACUAGUCCUAUUUCCAUCCAUCCUUUUUGAAUGGCUCCGACUGAGUUGAAAGAGCUUAAAGAGCAGUUGAAAAACCUCCCUGACAAGGGUUUUAACCAUCCUAGUGUGUCUCCAUGGAGUGCUCCUAUUUUUUUGUGUACAAGAAGGAUGGUUUCCUUCGAAUGUGCAUAGAUUACCGUCAGUUGAAUAAGGUCACGGUAAAGAAUAAUUACCCUCUUCCUAGGAUUGGUGAUUUAUUUUACCAGCUUCAGGGUGCUAGAUGUUUUUCAAAGAUUAAUCUUAGGUCGGGUUACCAUCAGCUAAAGAUUAGCGAAGUGGAUAUCCUAAGGUUGCCUUUCAAACCUAGUGUAGUCAUUAUGAGUUCCUAGUCAUGUAUUUUGGUUUAACUAUACCCCGAUAACAUUCGUGGACUUAAUGGGUAGGGUCUUCCAUUAGUUUUUGAAUUUUUUCGUCAUUGUGUUUAUAGAUGAUAUUCUGGUGUAUUCCAAGAGCGAGGUGGAUUAUGCCGAUCACCUCCAUAUUAUGUUACAAACCUUAAAAGAUCGGCACUUGUAUGCUAAGUUUUUGAAGUGCGAGUUCUGGUCGAAGGUUGUUACUUUUUUGAGUCAUGUCAUUUCUAGUGAAGGGAUCAUGGUUGAUUCGCAGAAAGUUACAGUAGUUAAGAAGUGGCCUAGGCCCAUGACUCCAACUAAUAUUCAGAGCUUCUUGAGUUUAGCCAGUUACUAGAGGAGAUUUGUGGAGCAUUUCCUAAAUAUAAAUACCCUACUAAUUAAGCUGGCCCAGAAGAAGGCAAAAUUCUUAUGGUCUGAUGCUUGUAAGGGUAGUUUUGAGAUGCUAAAAGAUAAGUUGACUUCAGCUAUAUUUUUGACCUCGCUCGAGGGUAACGAUGAAUUCAUGGUUUAUUGUGAUAUGUCCCUUGUAGGACUUGGUUGCGUAUUUAUGCAGCAUGAUAAGGUGGUGGCCUAUGCCUCUAGACAGUUGAAAGUGUAUGAGAAAAACUAUCCAACUCAUAACUUAGAGUUGUUUGAUAUGGUGUUUGCAUUGAAGAUUUGGCGUCACUAUCUAUAUAGGGUUUAUGUGGGUAUAUUUUUGGAUCAUAAGAGCCUUUAAUACGUGUUCACCCAGAAGAAGUUGAAUCUCAAGCAGAGGAGGUGGCUUGAGUUACUGAAAGACUACGACAUGAGUCUUUACUAUCACCCAGGUAAAGCUAAUGUGAUUGUUGAUGCUCUUAGCAGGUUAUCCAUGGGGAGUCUAGAUCAAGUGGAUGAGGAUAAGUGGGUGUUGGUGAAAUAUAUUCACUAUUUGGAUAACCUUGGAGUUCCUCUCUUGGAUUUUGAGGAUGGGGGUGUAUUUGUGCAACAGGUGGCACAAUCAUCUCUUAGUACUAAAAUAAAAGAGAAUCAGGUAUUGGAUCUUAUCUUAAUGAAAAUUAUGGGAGAUGUGGGAUCUUUAAGUACCAAGGCAGAUUAUGUGUUCUUUGCGUAGAUGGGUUGCAGGAGAGGAUCUUGGCUGAGGUUCAUGAGUCACGUUAUGCCAUUCGUCCUGGUUUGACGAAAAUGUAUCAUGAUCUUAAGGAGAUUUAUUGGUGGAAUAAUAUGAAGAGGUAUGGGUCUAGUUUUGUGGCUAAAUACAUGGUGUGUCAACAAGUGAAGGUUGAACACUUGAGGUCCGGUGGGUUAACUCAAGAGAUUGAGCUGUCUGUAUGGAAGUGGAAAGUAAUUAAUAUGGAUUUUGUUACCAGUCUUCCUCGGUUUCAAAAUCAGUUGGAUUCGAUUUGGGUCAUCGUGGAUAUGGUGACUAAGUCUGCUCACUUUUUCCUAGUAAGGACUAAUUAUUUGGCAGAGGAUUAUGCAAAGUUGUUCCUCCAAGAGAUUGUGAAGUUGCAUGCGGCGCCUGUUGAUGUUCCAGCUUUAGACAAAACAUUUUGCAUCUUUUUCUUGGGAAAUUGUGUGUUUUCAAGCAACUAAAGUUGUAUUUAACACUGGGUUUGGGUGUUUUCAGGUUAAGAAGUUAGCUGAAGAAGAAAACCUGGAAAAGUAACAGAAAAGGGUCACUGACGGUCCAACUGGCGGAUCGUCAGCCAUGAGAUGGACCAUCAGGGUUAACGUCAAAGUAACCCAGAAAGAAUCAAAUGAGAGACCCCUACGAUGGUCCAAUUGGCGGACCGUCAAAGAUCCGAUGGACUGCCAAUUUGGCCGUCAGGUUAAAACAAAAUCUAGAAAUUUAGAGAGUCAAAUGACGACCCAACUGACAGACUGCCAGGUCAUUGACGGACCACCGAGUUGGCCGUCGACACUUAACAGAACCUGACAUUAUGUAACCUUUAGCAAUGGUCCACCCGAUGGACCGUCAGUACACCGGAGAACCGUCGAUGGGAUUCUUAACUUGGACGCGGGUUUUCUAAAUUCAAAUUUUAAAUCCUUUUUACCUGGGAGCAUAUAAAUACCCAAUUAGGGUUUUAUUUCUUUCAUCUUGGAUAUUGUUACCUUAGUUUUCCUUCUUUGAAACUUUAUAACGUAGUAUUUUGUAAAUCAAGCAAAACUUGUGGAUCUAAUCAUUCCAUUUCCAUUGAAGAUUCAAGAACUAAUCCUUGUAACUUUUGUAAGUGAAUUCUAAAUUUAUUUAUGAAUAAUACAAAGACUUUUUCUCUUUCUUCUACAGAGAUGUGCGGCUAAGCUCUUAUAACUAGGGUUAUGAGAGCCAUGAUGUGAAAACUGAUUUGGGUUGUGAUUCUAAUUGAGUCCAUGUGUAAUUGACAUAGAAUAAACUCUUCUUUAUUUUAAUGACUUUUCUUGGUUGCAAACUUGAAAGGUGAGCCCAAGAACAUCACUUGUUCGAAUAGAAAAGGGUUUGUUGAAAAAAAAAAGGGUUUACAUGGAAUCUAGAGGCUUUAACCUUUGGAUUUAUGGCAAAUGCCUUAACAUGAUUAACCUACAUGAGAAAAUAGUUGAAUAAUCAAUGCAUUAUUUAAGUUUGAGAGAAUUAAUGGAUAUACUAUCCAUUUAGGUUGAGAAACUAAUGGGUAAACAAUAAGAUUCAGCUACUCUUGAAAUUAAAGUUACUAAUUGGAACUCAAAAGUGAAUCACAACCCUAACUAUUUAAGCAUCUUGGUAACCAUAAAUCUAGUUUGUUUAAUAUCAUUGAAUUACUACUUGCAAAAAGAAUCAUUAGUUGGGACAACUCUAUUGCAAUUAUUUAGAACAUAAUCUAUAAAUCAAAGCCCCAUUUAUUUAGGAACCUUUGAUAAAUAGUAUGAUAACAAUCACAAUGCUUAGUGAACACGGUAUUCCCUGUGGGAUUGGACACCCAACCUAGUUGGGUUCUAUAUUUGACAUCGAUCACUUACUCUCUCAUAUGAGAGGUGUAAUUUGGGUGUAUCAAAUUUUGGUUCCAUUGCCGGGGAAUACAGUUGCCAAUUAAGCUUAUGUUUGUUAAUUGACCUUUGAUUAAGUUUUCUAAAUUUUACCUUUGUUGUUUUUGUUUUUUGCAGGGUGGUUAUUGUGUAUGCCAAGCACACAGAGAUCAGGUGCACCGUUAUUACCAGUACAUCUGGAACCAUAGUUGAUUGGCAGAAUGGCAGACCCCCAAGAUACUGAAAGAUUAGCCGCUCUGCUAGACCGACGGCCAAUCGACGCGUCUUCCUAAUCCUAAUGAUGAUGAUUUGGGGGAUGAUGAAUUAUUAGAUCCUAUCAACCCAAGGCGUGCAGAGAAUGUAGAUGCACCGGUGAAUCGUAAUGUAAACAUGAAUCGUCCCUUCAGGGCAAGGCAGGAUCACCAACCUAUGUAGUUUGAUCUGAAUGAUAAAGAAGAUGGAAUGGAUGGAGAAGGUGCAACUAGAUCUAUUAUCCCUCCACCUCUAGCAUACGUAGCCAAAUUCAAUAUUACCAGUACGAUGAUUCAACUCCUUCAUAUUAAGAGGCUCCUUCAUAUUAAGGGGAUGUUCGGUGGUCUUCCAGGAAAUGAUCCAACUAUGCAUUUGGUGAACUUUGUCACUAUUUGCAAGUCUUUUAAUAACCCAAGAGUGGGUCCGAAUGGUAUCCGCCUGCAUUUGUUUCUGUUGUCUCUGUCUAGGGAGGGAAUAUUAUGGCUUAAUGGACUGACUCCCGAUUCUAUAACCAACUGGAGGCAAUUGAAAGAGGCUUUCCUACAAAGGUUCUUUCCACCUUCUAAGAGGGUACAGUUGAGGGAUGAGAUCAGCAACUUCCGGAAGCUCCCAACCAAAGUUUUUCACGAGACUUGGAAGAGGUUUAAGAAGAAGCUGAUGCAAUGCUUGAACCAUAAUAUGACAGAUAUUCAUUUGAUGGAGACUCUCCAUAGGGCAUUAAACUCUAUUACGAAGCCAGUUGUGGAUAAUGUUCCAAGAGGAUCAUUUGUGGAUUUCACUUUUCCAGAAGCCUCGGAGAUGCUUAAUAGGAUGACCAAACAAAGUAGAGCUUACGAUACCAGGGAUUCUAUGGUAGUAAGCCCUACUAUAUCUGUGGGUAUGGCUGCAGAAUAACUCAAGAAAGAGGAGAAACGUGAUCAGGACAUUGCAUACUUGAAGAUGCAAAUGGAUUUGCUGACUAAGAAUUUAUUAUCUGAAAAAAUAGAGAAGGUGAAAGCUGUUGUAUCCCAAGGUAGAGCUGACUCUGAUUCAGAAAAAGAGGUGAACUAUCUAAAUAAUCAGGGGUUUUUUCAAGUCAAUAGCCAAGGAAAUCAAGGUCGUAACUAUUACGACAAGGCUGGUUACAAGGAUAGGGAUCAAGGAAAUUGGAAUUAAAAAAUGAUAGGAGUGAACUAUAUGUGCUUCCUAGAAGCCAAGAUAAUACUGCAACAAGCUUUGGCAAAAUGUCCAUGGAGGACAUGAUGGAGAAGCUAUUAAAGAGAGUUGAGGCUACCAACUCUGGGGUGACUACUCUGAAGAGUGAUCUAUCUUCCAUGAGUCAGUUAGUAAACUCACACUCAACUUCUAUGAAAAAGUUGGAGCAACAAAUGAGCCAACUCUCAGCAAUAUUGAAUUAGAGGAAGAGUGGAACAUCGCCAAGCGAUACAGUUUAGAAUCCUCGUAAUGAUGGCUCUUAUAUGGUAGUUACCACAUGGAGUGGUAAGGUAUUACCAGAUCCAUAUGUGGGCAAAGCUGUGAUUGAAGAGGUGAUCGAAAAAGAUGCUAUGCAUGAAGAAAGUGAUCCAGUGGAGUCUGAGAAACUGGAUGGUAUUGACAUUCCUUCUAAUCAUCAGCAGGUUGAUGGGUUAGAAAAAGGGAAAGACAAGGAAAAGGAAGUAGUGGUGAUUACUCUCCCAAAACCACCGUCUCCAUUUCCUCAUAAAUUGAAGAAGAAGGCCGACGAUACAAAGUUUAGUAAAUUCAUGGCAAUAUUGAAGCAACUGACAGUGAAUGUGCCUUUGGUGGAGGAAAUUGAGCAGAUGCCAGGAUAUGUUAAUUUUAUGAAAGAUCUUGUGACGAAGAAGAGAGCAGUAAUCUAUGAACUGAUGGAUAAUCUCCACUAUUGCAGUUUUAUUUCUACAAGAUCCUUGGUACAGAAUAAGGCAGACCCAGGAGCAUUCACCAUCCCUUGUACUAUUGGGUCUCUUGAUUUUUCUAAGGCCUUAUAUGAUCUGGGAGCGAGCAUUAAGCUGAUGCCGCUAGCUAUUUAUAAGAAGUUAGGUUUGGAGGAUCCUACACCCAUAAAUAUGUGACUUAUGAUGGUGAACAGAUUAGUGAAAUAGCCUGUGGGAAUAUUAUAUGAUGUUCUAGUAAAAGUGACCAGUUUCAUAUUUCCCGUAGACUUUGUUAUUCUGGAUUGCGAGGUUCGCAUAAUCUUGGGUCAACCUUUUCAUGCGACUGAAAGUGUGCUUAUUGAUUAAUGCGCUAAUGAUCUCCUGUUCAAGUUGAAUAAUAAAGUGGUUUGAUUUGAUGUGUGAUAAUCUAUGAAGAAGCAUAAGGAGAUAAGUGUGUUCUCUAUUGUUGAUGUAUAUCAUAAGGAUGACUAGGAAGUGUCGAUAGAGGAGAAAUUUGUUGUUGAGCUCUUAUCUGUAUUUCUGAUGAAUUUUGAUGGUGAAGGCACUGAAGAAUAUGAGAAGACUAUUUAUGCUUUAACGUGAAUGGGAUCAUACUCUUAUGCUCCCAAGAAGCUUGAUCUGGAUCUUAAAAAUCGUCCAACACCACCAGCUAAGCCAUCUAUUUAGGAGCCACCGGUGUUGGAGUUGAAGAAAUUGCCAGGCCAUCUCGGAUAUGUGUUUCUAGGUAGUGGAAACACUUUACCGGUCAUCAUUAUGGCUGAUUUAGGUGAGCAACAGAUGGAGGCACUUCUUUUUGUGCUUUAGAGGUACAAAAGGGCAAUAGGAUGGACUAUUACGGAUAUUAUUGGCAUCCCUCCAGGUAUUUGCACUCAUAAAAUUCAGUUGGAGAAGGACUGUACACCAAUAAUUGAGCAUUAACAUUGUCUUAACCCGCCCAUGCAAGAGGUGGUUAGAAGGAAAUCAUCAAAUAGCUUGAUGCAAAAGUUGUAUAUCCCAUCUCUAAUAGUAAGUGGGUGAGUCCUGUACAAUGUCUGCCCAAGAAAGGGGGCAUGACUGUUGUAGAGAAUGAGAAGAAUGAGUUGAUACCAUUCAGAUCUGUCACUGGGUGGAGAGUCUACAUGGAUUAAGAAAACUCAACUCAUGGACGUUGAAGGACCACUUCCCAAUGCCCUUUAUGGAUCAGAUGCUCGAUUGAUUGGUGGGAAGAGGUUGGUACUAUUUUCUGAUGGGUAUUCUGAUUAUAAUCAGAUUUCUAUAGUCCUGGAGGAUCAGGAGAAAAUGACAUUCACCUGUCUGUAUGGUACUUUUGCGUUUAAGUAGAUGUCGUUUGGAUUGUGUAAUGCACCGGCUACUUUUCAACGGUGCAUUAUGUCUAUUUUCUCAGAUAUGGUUGAAGACACCUUGGAGGUGUUUAUGGAUGAUUUUUCUAUGGUAGGAGAUUCUUUUGAGCUUUUUUGGUGAAUUUUAGAAGAGCCUUGCAGCGGUGUGAAGAAUUUAAUCUUGUGCUUAAUUGGGAGAAAUGUCAUUUCAAGGUGAAGGAGGGCAUUGUUCUUUGGCAUAAAAUUUUAGAAACGGGUAUUGAGGUCGACCGAGCUAAGCUCGAAGUCAUUGAGAAGUUGCCGCCUCCUAUUUCAGUAAAAGGGGUGUGUAGUUUCCUUGGUCACACGGGUUUCUAUCGGAGAUUUAUAAAGGACUUCUCAAAAAUUGCAAAUCCACUUUGCAGACUUUUGGAGAAGGAGGUUAAGUUCAACUUUGAUGAUGAUUGCUUGAAGGCAUUUGAAUGCCUUACAGAGAAGUUAGUUGACGCCCCUAUUAUUGUUGCACUGAACUGGUCAAAACCGUUUGAGAUUAUGUGUGAUGUAAAUGGUAUUGCACUUAGGGCUGUACUUGGCCAAAAGAGGGAUAAAUUAUUUCAUCCUAUCUACUAUACAAGAAAAUCAUUAAAUGGAGCCUAAAAGAACUACACCGUCACUGAGCAGGAACUUUUUUCCGUGGUCUAUGCUUUUGAGAAGUUCUGGGCUUAUCUGCUAGGAACUAAGGUGGUGGUCCACACUGACUAUGUAGCCUUGAGAUAUUUGAUGGCAAAAAAGAACACGAAGCCAAGGUUGAUUACAUGGGUGCUGCUGCUUCAAGAGUUUGACUCUGCGUUCAAAUAUCAAAAGGGUUGCGAAAACCAAAUUGCGGACCACCUGUCUAGAAUGGAAGGGGAGCAAGCAGUUAGAGAUGAAUCUAAGAUUAAUGAUGCAUUUUUGGAUGAGAAAGUCUUGGCUGCUGAUUUGGAGAAGAUACCUUGGUAUGCAGAUUUCGUAAAUUAUGUGGUGAGCGAGAUGAUCUCGAAAAAUCUUUCUUUUCAUCAAAGAAAGCAGUUUCUCCAUGAUGUGACACAUUACUUCUGGGAUGAGGCUUAUUUGUUUUGGCAAUGUGCUGACAACAUCAUAAGGAGAUAUGUUCCAGAAGUAGAUAUGUUGAGUAUCUUAGAAGUAUGUCAUGUUUCCCCAGUGGGAGGUCACUAUGCAGGUGACCGUACUGCUAAAAAGGUGCUACAAAGAGGCUACUCUUGGCCGACUUUAUUCGAAGAUGCUUAUGAGUUCAUGAGAAGAUAUAACAAAAUUCAGAGGCAGGGGUCAAUCUCCAAAUGCCAUGCCUUUGACAAAAAUGAUACUGGUAGAAUUAUUCGAAGUCUGGGGCAUCGACUUCAUGGGGCCUUUUAUGAGUUCAUAUAGGAUGAAAUACUUUCUAGUUGUUGUUGAUUAUGUAUCAAAAUGGGUUGGAUCCAUUGCUUUGGCUGACAACGAAUGGAAAGAGUGAUUGCAUUCCUUAAAAUGAACAUUUUCUCUUGAUUUGGGGUGUCAUGCACCAUUAUAAGAGACGGUGGAUCUCAUUUUUGCAACCGAGUGUUUCGAGCUGCCUUAGCGAAGUAUGGUGUUAAACAACACAAGGUAGAAACUCCAUACCACCCACAAACUAGUGGGCAAGUGGAGAUUUUGAAUAGAGAGAUUAAGGCCAUACUUGCUAAAAUAGUGAAUGCUAGCAGACAAGACUGGUCCAAGAAGCUUGAUAAUGCCUUAUGGGCUUACAGAACAGCUUUCAAAACAUCAAUUAGCAUGUCACCAUACCAGUUGGUUUACGGAAAGGCAUGUCAUUUACCAAUUGAAUUGGAGCAUAAGGUGCUAUGGGAAAUUAGGAGGCUGAAUUUGAAGUGGAAUGAGGCAACGCAGUUGAGAUUUGGAAGCUGAAUGAGAUGGAUGAGUUCUAUCUUAGUGCAUAUAAAAGGGUAGAUCUUUACAAGGAGAAGAUGAUGAAGUACCAUAAUCGGAGGAAUGCAAAAAGAGAGUUUCAAAAGGGUGAUUGGGUGCUUCUCUUCAACUCCAAACUGAAGUUGUUUCCAGGUAAACUUUAAUCAAAAUGGUCGGGUCCAUUCCAAAUUAAUCAAAUUUACUCGUCUGGAGUAGUUGAACUUGCAAAUAAAGACGGAAGUGUCUUCAAAGUGAACGGGCAAUAACUGAAGUUAUAUAUCGGUCCAAUGGACUCGAUAAAGUGCAUAGCUACUAUCUAUCUCAAUGAAGUCUAAGUAAUCAAGAUAACUGUAUUGUACCACUACAUUAAAUCAGGCGCUAGUGGGAGGCAACCCACAAUGUUGUUGUAAUCGUAGUCAAAUCUUAUUUGUUGUUUUUAUGCAAUCUGAUGUGUUGUAAAGUGUGCAGGACUAAAAUUGCUACAAGAGAAGAGUUGUACAGUUGAUAGGUGGUUGACGGGAUAACCAACGGACCUUCAAGGUCUCGAUGGGCCGCCACUUGCAUCGUCAAAUCCAUGGUAAAAAGUUGAACAUUCUGGAUAAGGCUUAACGGUCAAGUUGGCAGACCAUUAAAGAACUGACGGACCAUUGGACAAACCGUCAACCAGAAGCUGAAAUUCAGAGUUUCUAGAAUGGACUUACGGACCACUCGAUGGACUGUCACAUCAUUGACGGACCGUCAGAGUAACUGUCAUAGCUAGAAGGCACGUUUCUGGUAAGACACGAUGGUCAACCUUGCGGACCGUCGCAAAGCUGAUAGACCGUUGGAUUAACCAUCAACGUAACCCUGUUCUGGGUCGGGUAGGGUUAAAUAGAUGCUUAUUUAAAACUCCCGUACUUGACCCAAAUACUUUUAAAUCGAUAAGAGAAAGUGGUUACAUACGUUGACACCUUUUCAAAUUCUGAAACUGUUCAACUCCAUCUGGAUUCAAAGAAUGAAUUAUCCUAAAGGUCUCUCCCUCUUCUUUUCUUUCCUUAUAUAAACAAACUCACUCUUCUCUUCUCCUCAUCACAACUAAAAAAGCAAGCAGUGACUAAAGUAUUAAGUUAGUUUUAUUUCUAUAUUUGUAAGAGAGAGAAAUGAAGUUUCUACAUCAUCAAGGUAUGAUUGUAACCAUUUUCUUCCUUCUUUGAAUUGCAAAGCAUGAAGUGAAUAAAGUUUAGGUUAAAAAAAUUUCAUUUUUCUUUCUUGUCUUGUCUGGUGUUAAUGUUUUGAGUAUUGAACACUGGUAUGCCUUGUUUUGUGGUGAAGACUGAGUAACCUAUAUAUUUAAAGUGAGAAAAUUUGUGCUUAAAUGUGAAAUUGAUGUUAUUUUUUUGGUAAAAUCUGAUAUUGUCACUAAGUGUUAGACAAAAUGUCAAAGUAAAAGAUGAAACUGAAGAUGGGGUUGUGACGGACAACUUGGUGGACCGUUAGACUUGCGACGGACCACUGGAUGGACCAUCACAAAGAUCCCAGAGAUGGCAUUCACUAGAUAAGCUGCGAUGGACCACUUGGCAGACCGUCAAUUCAUCCGUUGCAAGACUCUAAAAAAUUAGGACUUUUUGGAUAAGGUCUGUCGGCCUGUCCGACGGACCAUCGCAUGAUCAAAGGACCGUCAGGAUGAUCGUCACGCUAAAUAUUUCACUGUUUUGACCAUUUUUGUGUUGUGAACUAAUUCCUUGCUUCUUUUCAGGCAUUAGGGCAUGUAAACUUCCAUUGAACAAAGGUGGUGGCUGAGCACGAGGAAGACCCAAACUUGCCAAGAGUGAGGAAGCAACAUCCUUCAACACUUGAAAAAGAGACCAAACAUUUCCUACACAGUCUGAAGAGGAGAGUAAGAGCAGCACUAGCUAGAGCCCUAACGAGGCAAGGGUAGCCUCAUCUCGUCCUAAGCCAGUUGAGGUCGAAUUAAGUCUACCAAUGUAGAGGCAUAAACUGAAGCGGCUUAUAUGAAGAAUGAGCCUGAGGAUGCCAACUUGAUCAGCCACAAGGAUCCUCAAAUAAGGGAGGCAGUCAGAUGGUAACUCGAUGGAGUAAGGGAAAAAUUCUAUGAUGGAUUGGCACCGAUAGCAAGUAGGCCAAUCAAAAGGCCAUUCGCUGAGGAGUAUUAGAUUGUUACAAUAGAGUUGCACAAAUAUCCUAAAUUGGAGCGUCAUUUUAAUGAGUACGAAUUGACAUGGAUGAGAAAGACUCCCGAAUUAUAUCAGCCAAAUUUGGUAGGGGAAUUCUUUGCUAAAUAUUUGGUGUUGGCAGAAAAGGAUAAUCCAAAGGGCUCAAAGAUUUCAGAUCUAUUGAAUAGGGAUUCAGUUCCAGUCCGGGGAGUUAAUAUUGCCAUAUCAGCCCGAACAAUCAACAGGAUGCUAUUUGGGCCAAACUAUGAGGCCCCACCUGCUAUUCUAGAACUCCAGUACCGCCUGUGUUCUGCAUCUACCCAAAGACCCUGGUUGGCUGGGUUGUUGACUGAUGAUGGUAAUCUUUCCUAGGCCACAAACCCACGUGAACGCAUAGCGAAGUCUUUUCUUAGCUUCAGAGCUAAGUUUUUGUAGGCAGUGGUUUGAUUGAGACUUAUGCCAACCAAAGGUUAUGCUAAUAUGGACAAUCACCGAGCUAUGCUUGUUGCUAGUUUACUUUCAGGACUGAAGAUUGAUUUCAGUCAAAUCAUUACCGAUGAGCUAUUCGUAAGAGCACAUAAGAUGGCCAACACACUAUCGUUCCCAUGUUUAAUCACAUAGUUAUGCAGGUAGGCGGGUGUGCCUUUGAUUUGUGCGGUGGAUAAUAAGGUCAGGGAAACACAUAGGCAGGAUAUUAAGAAUUCCAAGGAUGUCUCAAAAUAUAAAAUGAGGGUCACCAAACCUCCAGCCUAUCAGACUUAGUCAAUACCAGCCCCAGAUACCUCAAAAAUUCCAACAGGUAUGCCGUUGCUGAUUACCACUUACGUACCACCUGAUUAUGUGCCAUCAAGUGCCUCUGUAGGGUUAAAGUCUGCACCACCAAUGGGUGGGGCAAAAUUUAUAGAAUAUAGGUUGAUGCAGGAAAAAUUUGCUAAGUCUGUGAAAUUUCAAAAGAAAUUCAAGAAGUAACUUGACACUUGGGCUACAGAAUUCAAAACUUUUAUUGAUAGAAUGGUAGCUGAGGCAAUCCAUCCAUUCCAAGACAUUCAGAUGGGGAUGGAUCACAUGGAGGAGCGAAUCAACAAAAGGCUGGAUUCACUGUCCAUUCCAGACUUGGCUAAGUUCAUGGAAGAGUUUAAGAAAACACAAGUUGAUAUCAAAGAAUUAAAGAGCAGGCAGCCACAACAGCCCAUUUUUUUUUAUCUAGUUUGGUAAUGAGCGAUGAUGAAAAAGGCAUUGUUGAUCUGACGGGAAGACCAUUGAAAUACAAAGGAAAGCAGCAGGUCGAUGAACGUGCUAAAAAGAAAGAUGAAAAGAGAAAAAAGAGAGAAACAAUGAUGUUGGAUGAGCGAGAACAUUAUGAUAUAAAGAAGGCCUCAAAAAGAUCGAGCGAUGAAAAAAGAAUAAGUAAGAAGGCAAAAGAUGAAGCUGCUGGAGUAUCUACCAGUUCAGCCCCAGCUAGGGGGACUAGUUCAGACCUUGUUCGGGAUGUGAUUCGUACGAUUCCGAAGGGUGAGUUUAUGAGUACCCCCACCACUAUUGGGGUCAACUUUGCAACAAGUGAGGGGACACUGGAGCCUCACCACAUUUCACAGAUGCCUCAGAUGAAUAAGGGGCAUUACAAGUAUUUUCCUUCUCUGUACUUAAAUUUUAUACAUUUGAGGACACAACAUGUAUUAUUUUGUAUGUAUGUGGGGUGGGGGGGGGGGUUGUGUACUUGUACCAUGGAGGGUUUUGUUGCCGAUGCCUUUUCCUCCCAUGUAGCUAUCUAGUAGAAUCGACAUGUUUAGGAUUAAGUUUAGAUUUGCAUUUUUCUUUUCUUGAGGUUUGUUGGUUAAUGUUUGUUUAUUAAAUAAAAGUACAAUUUAUGUUAGCGCCCUAGCGUGGAUAUGGAUGAUGAAUGAUGUUGGCAUAAGGCUAUGAAUGUUUGUGUGACUGUUUACUUUUGUCUUUUAGCAUAUGUGAAAAACUGUUAGUGAAUUUGUAAUUUGUCAUUAACUUGUAAUACAUGUAUGACAUAUGAUAGAAAUCUUAAGAUCAGUAGAAUGAGUUGACUCAGUUAUCGGUAUGCGUGUGAAUAUUUAUGUUAGUUUUUGCAUAGUGUAGUUUCUAGAACUUGCCUGGUUCAUUGAUGCUGUCUUGUAGUUGAUGAAAUAAGAAAUGAUAGCAGGCUGCUUGUACUUUUAUUCCACUUACCCAAAAUAAUUUAUCGCACCAAAAAGAUUUUUCCAUUGUUGAACCCUUCUUUGAGCUUGUGCAAAUUUUUCUUCAUCACUAAUCACUCUAAUUAGCCCUCUUUAAGUUGUCAACACCUAACUCUGGACCUGGACCGAUGGUGGGCAUUGUGAACCUAAACUUAGGGAAAACACCUAUGUUGAGGGUGGCUAUUGUCAAGCUAUUAGAUGUCUAAUGAAAAGUUGGUUUAGAGCAUCUGGCCCUGGUGUAUUUAUAUUUAAGACACUGCACCUUGACUGAUUGCAUCAACAUGAGUUGAGGGUGGCUAAUGCUUAUGUCUCUCUCUCUCUCUCUCUCUCUCUCUCUCUCUCUAUAUAUAUAUAUAUAUAUAUAUAUAUAUAAGGGUUAUUAUGGUAAAGUAUGAAUGAAGAAAAAAAAGGUAAGUGAGCUAGUAAAGCAAUGGCCUUGGUAGGUAGAAUCCAAGGGGAAAGAGAGUUAAAUCCUAAUGUUAAUUCACUUUUCCCGAAAUCCUUCCUUACCUAGCCUGAAACCUCAUUACAAGCCUAGAAAAACCUAUUUGAUCUUGGUAAUCUACUAAAAGAGGUAUCCGAUGAUAAAGGCAAGCCUAUGGGUAUGUGCACUAUGCUUGUAACUUCUUUGAUGAGUGCGAGAGUUCUGAUUUGUAUCCACAAAAUAUAAUGAGCGGUGGAUUUCAUUGACUGUGAGGGAAACUUGAGUAACACUUAAUUUGACUGAUCUCUGUAGAUUCUUAUGUCCAUGUUUGGGCAUAUGUACUGAAUUUGAAAUAAUGUCGGUUAUAGGUCCUGAUGUGUUGAACCAUAUUAUUGGAAUGACAAGUGAAUGGUUGUGUAAAAACUGUGCAGUAGUUGAAUGCCUGUCAUUGUAUUGUUUAUGUUUACAAUUUGGUGCUGAGUUGCUUGAGGACAAACAAUUGUCUUAAGUUGAGGGUGUUGAUGUUCCAUCUUUAGAUGGAACAUUUUGUAUCUUUUUCUUUGGAAAUUGUGUAUUUUCAAGCAACUAAAGUUGUAUUUAACACUGGAUUUGGGUGUUUUCAGGUUAAGGAGUUAGCUGAAGAAGAAAGCCUAGGAAAGUAACAGAAAAGGGUCACUGAUGGUCCAACUGGCGGAUAAUCACCACGAGAUAAACCACCGGGGUUGCCGUCAGAGUAAACCAAAAAGAAUCAAACAAGGGACACCUGCGAUGGUCCAAUUGGCGGACCGUCAAACAUCUGAUGGAUCGCCAACUUAGCCGUUAGGUCAAAACAGAACUUGGAAAUUUAUAGAGUCAAAUGAUGGCCCAAUCGACGAACCGCCAGGUCAUUAACGGACCGCUGAGUUGGUUGUCGAUACUUAACAGAACCUGACUUUAUGGAACCUUCAGCGACAGUCCACCCGACGGACCGUCAAUCUAUCGGCGGACCGUCGAUGGGUCCGUCUACAUAGACGUGGGUUUUCUGAAUUUGAAUUUUAAAUCCUUUUUACCUGGGAGCAUAUAAAUACCCAGUUAGGUUUUUAUUUCUUU
rnacentral:lncRNA from 1 species